CCUACGGGUGGCUGCAGUGGGGAAUAUUGCACAAUGGGGGAAACCCUGAUGCAGCGACGCCGCGUGAGUGAAGAAGUAUCUCGGUACGUAAAGCUCUAUCAGCAGGGAAGAAAAUGACGGUACCUGACUAAGAAGCCCCGGCUAACUACGUGCCAGCAGCCGCGGUAAUACGUAGGGGGCAAGCGUUAUCCGGAUUUACUGGGUGUAAAGGGAGCGUAGACGGCAGCACAAGUCUGGAGUGAAAUCCCGGGGCUCAACCCCGGAACUGCUUUGGAAACUGUGCGGCUAGAGUGCAGGAGGGGUAGGCGGAAUGCCUGGUGUAGCGGUGAAAUGCGGAGAUAUUAGGAGGAACACCGGUGGCGAAGGCGGCUUACUGGGCUGUAACUGACGUUGAGGCUCGAAAGCGUGGGGAGCAAACAGGAUUAGAUACCCUGGUAGUC
rnacentral:rRNA from 1 species